rnacentral:misc_RNA from 1 species
AACUUUUGACAACGGAUCACUUGGUUCUGGCAUCGAUGAAGAACGCAGCGAAAUGCGAUAAGUAAUGUGAAUUGCAGAAGUCAGUGAAUCAUCGAAUCUUUGAACGCACAUUGCGCUCCCUGGUAUUCCGGGGAGCAUGCCUGUCCGAGCGUCAUUACAACCCUCUAGCCCUGCUUGGUGUUGGGCCCCGCCGCCACGGCGGGCCCUAAAGUUAGUGGCGGUGCCGUCUGGCUCCGAGCGUAGUACUUCUUCUCGUUCUGGAUGCCCAGCCGUGUGCCAGCCAGCAACCCCCAAACUUUUUCAGGUUGACCUCGGAUCAGGUAGGGAUACCCGCUGAACUUAAGCAUAUCAAUAAGCGGAGGCU